UGUUAAAAACUCCAUCCAUUUUUAUUGUUAAGUGCUAACAUGGCUGAUGGAGCAACUAGAUAGUGACACUUGACAUGCCAUGUGUACCUCAUAUUGACAUGAAAGAACUAAUACAAGCAAAAUGGAUGGGACUUUUUAAUAGAAAAAAUGGAUGGAAUUUUUUACA
rfam:Gossypium raimondii Chr06_contig_1298, whole genome shotgun sequence.